rnacentral:lncRNA from 1 species
AAGUAUAUUUGAGUGCAAAAUGCUCAUUGUCACUAAGUCUCUUUUCAAAAAUCCACAGGGCAGCACAUCAGCAUAUCACCUUGUUGGGAGCACAGCUGCAGGGAGAUGAUGUUCUUUCACCACAUUGCUCUUUGGUGGGUGCAAGACUGAUGCUGCUCAGUGCCACUGGCUGUCACCAUGACAUGACAGAGGGAUUGAGGGGGACACAGGACUGCAAGAGGCAGAAGCCUGGCAGCACUCUUCCUUAAUUUAAGUACCAAGCAGAAAAGGGUGUUUUUAAGCAAAGUGUUUAUCUUGUUAGAGAAUGCUCUUGUGGUUAAAGCAUUGCACUGGACUUCUGGAAAUCUGACAUUAAUGCCU